rnacentral:misc_RNA from 1 species
AAGUCGUAACAAGGUCUCCGUAGGUGAACCUGCGGAGGGAUCAUUAACACUAUUUGGCUUGUCACAAUUUGUUUCACGACAAUAUUGAGUCAAGUUCAAAUUUCCACACACAUUGCGAACUUGUUGGUUUCUCUUCUCGUCAAACAGAAGGGAGCUGACCUAACCAAAACUGCCUCGAGGGUAAGGUUGCCGACGCGACGCAGUGAACGACCAUUCAUUCUUUUUGGAGUGAAUGAUUCGUAGCUCCGCUUCCGUCCUUCGACGUGGUUCAUUUUGGGAGAUGUCACACUGCAAGAUGUCUCGGCCCCCUUUGCCAUCACCUUUAAACCAAUCGACUAAUUGAAAAAGAUUAACGGAAACGUUUGAUCUUUUAAAUAUCUAAAACUAAGCACAACUCUUAGCAACGGAUAUCUUGGUUCUC